CCUUGUUAGCAAUUCAUGUAGUAUACUGUCAUGGCAUUGUUGAUUAAGAUUUGGACAACUUUAGAUCUGAUCAGGAGGAGGAAAACCCUGCAGGUGAGAUUAAUAGUUGUCAACUCCAGCAAUGUGAAAUUAAGUUUCAUCUCUGGGGAAGCCCACAACAUUGACUAGUGUGGGGUUUUGGAGGAGCCCUUAGGCCUUCUACUAAAGCACCUGCAACCUGUGAUUGUUACUGGAGACAGCAAGGUGAGAUGGGGACUCCUUGACUGGAAGUAAGAGGACUGUCUGUCAUGGCCAUUAUAAAGAAACCAGCCCAACCACUUCUACCUCAAGACAGAAGCUUCUGGAGAAAACCACUAAGCAGCAAAAUAACAAACAGCAUUCACCUACUCAUCUAUCUAAGGUCUGUUUUAGGUCUGUCACCUAUGGUCUCAGUGAAACAGAAGAAGGACAUGAUUAAAGGUGAACAUGAUUAAAGGUGUUUAUUAGGUACAGGCAAGUAAAGAACACUCAGUGAUUUGGAAUCAAGCGUGUGAAGCCCUCUAGCCCUUACAGAUGUUAUGGACUAACAGUCAAGAAAUCUAUACAGACGAGAUGUCAGUCAUGGAGGGAGGGUCGUGUCUGACCGACUGCCACAGUUCUGGUGUGAUGGACAACCUAGACCGUCUACUGUACCUGGUGAUGAUGAUGUGCACAGGAGGAACAUGGAUCAAAUCGGCUGCUGGACCAGAAUUCCUCAAUCUCAGGCAAGUAGGGAUGAGUUGACGUGUUGUCUCUCGGAGACUGCUCAUGACGACUGAUGACUGACACAGACACGGGCUGCCACCAUGAUGGACAGCACCAUAUAGCCUGUGAGAGGAGCUUAUAUACUCUCUUGUCUCCGGGCAGAAUUGCCAGAUCACAUGACCGAUCUUUUCCCGCCUUACAGGAAAAGGACGCCAAAAGCCCAACAAGAAGGGAGAUCAACAUGGCUCCCAAACAACAACUUUAUAGAAUUCAAAAUGACGAUUGUGAACAAAUGUUUAAAAUGAUACCAUAACAGAAUAUACAGUUAGAAUACAUAACAAAACAAUUUUCCCGUACAGUUUCCCCUCUUUGGCAGUUUGAAGGACUCUGUCUUCAAUGCCAUCACAACAAAUUUAGACUAAUUUAAAAGAGGGAACUGAUAUAUAAUGAUGACUGUAUUAAUCUGUCUUUUUAUCCAAAACGUGAGGGCAAUUAAGUAAAUAAUAAUCAUUAACUAGAUGACCAAUACAGUGAUUACCGGAUGCAACAGAAUGUUCCAGAAUUGAUUAAAAUCUACUGAGCCAUUGAAUAAACCUUCCCACCAAUGGAAAGAGUCACUUUGUAUCUUUUUAAUAUCCUCUUGAUUUGAUUAGAGGAGUAAUACAUAGUAACCAUCACUUCCCAGCUUUCCUGUUGUAAUUGCCUUAUAAAAUUAACAUUACAACCCACAAUGGAGAAAACUGAACAGAGACACAAAUUAAUAUAAGGGUUAUUAGAGAUCUUAUAAUAGGAAUUUACUAAGAACUCCCUGCAUCAGCUUCUCAAGCAUAUGCAUGUAUGAUCAACAAAUACCAACGUUGAGCUGUUAGA